GGCCGCACAACCCGAUCACCCGAUUGGGUUCCAUCCAUGAAGACGUCGGGCAAUCAGCUGAGGACACCACCAUACUCAGAGAGAAUCAAAUGUAAUACAUAGGAUUGGAACUCUGUAAAUUCCAUCAAUUUGUCGACAUGAAACAAAUACUAUUUUAGCAAUUUCUGUCUUUCUGCCUUCUUUGAAUGUUUGAUGAACACAAAACACUGCAUAUGAGAUUCCCGAAGCUCGCUUCACUCUGCCCCCUCUUCAAUGUAACAAUCCCUAACAUCCCAUAAUGUAGGACAAUAUUUCUUUAAGAAUCUAACAUUAAUGGGAUGUUUCUGCCCAUUUCCUUCGAGGUCCGCUAGGUAGUAUCCUCUUUUAUUCAAGACUCG
rnacentral:lncRNA from 1 species